rnacentral:rRNA from 1 species
CUGUGGAGGGCAUAUAUACCCCCCACCACACUGGUAACCUGAGAACACCGAUCCAAGUCCUACCGAGUCAGCAGUAAGAAAAUAUUGGUCCAAUUGGGCGAGAGGCCUGAACCCAGCCCAUGCCGCGUGCCCAGAAGAAAGCCCUUAUGGGUGUAAACUGCUUUUGUCAAGGAAUAAAUCUAUGUUACGCCGUACGUAGUGAAAGGUACCUGAAUGAAAUAAGCAUCGGCUAACUCCCGUGCCAGCAGCCGCCGGUAAUACGGAGGAUGCCAAGCGUUAUCCGGGAUUCAUUGGGUUUAAAGGGUGCGCAGGCGGAUAUAUAAGUCAGUGGUGAAAUGCAACAGCUUAACUGUUGAGCUGCCAUUGAUACUGUAGGUCUAGAGUGUAAUUGGGGUAAGCGGAAAUAUGUCAUGUAGCGGUGAAAUGCUUAGAUAUGACAUAGAACACCGAUCGCGAAAGGCAGCUUACCAAGCUACAACUGACGCUCAUGCACGAAAGCGUGGGGAUCAAACAGGAUUAGAUACCCUGGUAGUCCACGCCCUAAACGAUGCGAACUAGGUGUUGGAGAAGGAGACUUCUUUAGUACCGCAGCUAACGCGUGAAGUUCGCCGCCUGGGGAGUACGGUCGCAAGAUUAAAACUCAAAGGAAUUGACGGGGACCCGCACAAGCGGUGGAUGAUGUGGAUUAAUUCGAUGCAACGCGAAAAACCUUACCUACCCUUGACAUGUCAGGAAUUCUGCUGAGAGGUGGAAGUGCCCGAAAGGGAACCUGAACACAGGUGCUGCAUGGCUGUCGUCAGCUCGUGUCGUGAGAUGUUGGGUUAAGUCCCGCAACGAGCGCAACCCUUGCCAUUAAUUGCCAUCAUUCAGUUGGGCACUUUAAUGGGACUGCCGGUGACAAACCGGAGGAAGGUGGGGAUGACGUCAAGUCCUCAUGGCCCUUAUGGGUAGGGCUUCACACGUCAUACAAUGGUCGGUACAGAGGGUUGCCAAGCCGCGAGGUGGAGCCAAUCCCACAAAGCCGAUCGUAGUCCGGAUCGCAGUCUGCAACUCGACUGCGUGAAGUCGGAAUCGCUAGUAAUCGUGGAUCAGCAUGUCGCGGUGAAUACGUUCCCGGGUCUUGUACACACCGCCCGUCACACCAUGGGAGUGGGUUUCACCAGAAGUAGGUAGCCUAACCGCAAGGGGGGCGCUUACCACGGAGUGGUCCAUGACUGGGGUGAAGUCGUAACAAGGUAGCCGU